UUUUUUUUUGAAGUUUGCCCCAGUGUGAAAGUCUCUCUGUAAGUCAGAACCUUAGCAUUAUUUUAAUGUACUGUUCUGUAUUUAAUAAUCUUAUGCUUCAGACAUUAGUCUGUUACCAUGGGAAUGACAGCAGCAUAAAUACAGGAUUAUGGCUAUCAAGCAGGAGAAAAGAAAUUAUGAAUAAGCCUCGUUAUAUUCAAUAAUUAGCAGCUACAUGAAAAAAACAAAACCAUGAAUUUAGGUUGAUGCAUUUAUCUCAGUGUUUGAAUACAACUCUGAGUGUGUUAUUGCUUUAAAAUGAGAUUCUAACAAACUGCCAAAAACUUCUUGACUAGCAGUUGUUACUCAGUGCUAUAAUUUAAAAAUUCAUCAUGUCCAUCUCUUUUUUCUCCUAUUUAUAUUCUUUCCCGGCAGAAGAUUGGUAACUAAUGGGUAAUACACAACAUUCCAAGAUAGAUUCUGGUAUCUUGAGCCAACAUAUCAGGAGAACGGCACAGAAAAACUGAACAUUACCAGCCCCUCUACCUUAGCUAACUGCAAAAUGAACAACUUCCAAGGACUUACUGCUACUCUCCCACAAAAUGAAAAGUCUAUGUAUCAAGAUAUAGACUAGUACAGCUAAGCACAAGGCUCCUCCCCAGUCAAAGAAGAGCAGAGAGUGAAGAUCACUAUCAGUAAAAGCGCUGGCCUAGAGUUCCAUCACUAAACUGAUAUGUAACCCAAGGCAGGUCUUCUUUCUUUGAGUUUCAGUUUCAUCAUCUUUGA
rnacentral:antisense_RNA from 1 species